rnacentral:rRNA from 1 species
AAAUUGAAGAGUUUGAUCAUGGCUCAGAUUGAACGCUGGCGGCAGGCCUAACACAUGCAAGUCGAGCGGUAGCACAGAGAGCUUGCUCUCGGGUGACGAGCGGCGGACGGGUGAGUAAUGUCUGG